GCUAGCGAAUUAAUGUUUUCUGGUAAUUGAUUCGUAAUCAGCAGGUCACGAGUUCAAGUCUCGUCGCUAGCU
rnacentral:tRNA from 1 species